AAUAGUAGCAAAAAAAAAGAGUCAAGGAAUUAUAUAUAAAAAAGAAGCAACUAAAAAAUAAGCAAUUAUUGCUGCAAUAAAAAUAUAAGAAUAAAUUAUAAGAAGGAUUAAAAAAAUUAGGGCAAAAAUCAAAUGAAUAAUAAAUGAUAUUUAUAGUAGCAAUAAACGUUGAGGACUGAAAUAAUAUAUCUUAUAUUUUAAGUCAAAAAUUGCAACUAAUUAAAGUUUGAGCAUGAAAGUAUCACAUGCCUCGUAGUUUAAAUCAUAACAUAUUACAGUUCGGAGAUUAAAGUGUCACUUGUCUUAUAGUUUUAAGGAUUAAAAGUGUUUAUCCAAUCUUCCAAAAUUUUGUUUUGAUUAUUCAAUUUUUCGAUAUAUUAGAUUUGAGUAAGUUAAUGAUACUUAAAUUUUAAAAAUCUAAAUGCAUAACUUAGAUUUACAGAUUUAGUUAGUAUAUUUUAUACGAUUCUCACAACUAAAUUUUAUAAAAUAUAAAAUUAAUUUAAACUCCAUCAAAUUUUUUUAAAAUUUUUUAAUGUACAAUCUAUAUCUAAAUGCUCAAUAGUAUAAAAUUAAAAUUUAUAUUCAAUACAAACAGCCUAAAAUAUUUAAAAAUUAUUUAUAUAUUUUAAAUAGGGGCAAUUGCCUAUAUACCCCUGAAAAGUUUUCAGUUUUCUUAUUUACCCCUCUUAGAAGGCUAAUAUUGAAAAUACCCUUCUUGUGUUUCAAGUUUUUCUAAAAUACCCCUAGAGUUAAGUUCCGUUAGUGAGCUGCCGUUAUCUCUGAAAAAUUACCAUUUUACCCAUUCCAAUAUACUCUUGUACCGUAACAAACUUUUCUUAUAUACUCUUCAUAUAGCAAAUACUUUUCUUAUUUGCCCUUCGUCCGGAUCCGGAGCGGAGGGCGUGCAGGGGUCCGAUGGCGUUGCGGCCCUCUUGCUCCCGGCGCCGGCCAAGGCAGCGGAGGAGGAGGAGGACGACGAGAGUGGCGAGAGAUGGGAUUGUCGCUGCGGCCCUCUUGCUCCCGACGUCGGCCAAGGCGGCGUAGGAGGAAGAUGACGGCGACGAGAGCGGCGGCGGAGGAGGAGGAGGACGACGAGAGUGGCGAGAGAUGGGAUCGUCGCUGCGGCCCUCUUGCUCCCGGCGCCGGCCAAGGCGGCGUAGGAGGAAGAUGACGGUGACGAGAGCGGCGGCGGAGGAGGAUGACGAGAGCGACGAGAGUGGUGGUGCUGGAGGUGGAGGUGUGGGAGGUGGUGGUGGUUUAGGAAGAGAUGAGGCGAGGUGGAGGCGGAGGAGCCGGCCGGUGGUGGCGACCAAGUUAGGAAAGAAAGAGAGGAUAACCUUAGGGAUUAGUAUAAUAAGGUAGGGGCAAAAUAGGUAUUUUAUUUAGGUUUUAACUCUGGUAUACAUUUAAUCCAUGUUUAACCCGAGUUAAACUAACAGGGGAUAACUGUGGGGGUAUUUUGGAAUAACGGUGGAACAUAUGAGGGGUAUUUUAGAAAGAAAAAAAAAAUAGGGGUAGAUCGGAUAUUUCCGAACGCAUGAAGGGUAUAUAGGCAAUUAUCCCUUUUAAAUAUUUAUAGUAAAAAAUAAAAAAGUUAGAUUGUGAGUAAAAAAAA
rnacentral:lncRNA from 1 species